CGGUAAGGGAUGGGUCUGCGCCCUAUCAGCUAGUUGGUGAGGUAAUAGCUCACCAAGGCAAUGACGGGUAGGCGGAGUGAGAGCUUGACCGCCAACAAUGGCACUGAGACACUGGCCAUACUCCUACGGGAGGCUGCAGUCGAGAAUAUUGGUCAAUGGGCGAAAGCCUGAACCAGCGACGUCGCGUGUAGGAAUAAGAUCUUCGGAUUGUAAACUACUUUUAUGAGGGGAGAAUUUUUUAUGACGGUACCUCAUGAAUAAGGGGUGACAAAACUCGUGCCAGCAGUAGCGGUAAUACGAGUGCCCCAAGCGUUAUCCGGAUUAAUUGGGCGUAAAGGGUCUGUAGGCGGUUUGUUAAGUUUUCCGUUAAAUCUUCAGGGCUCAACCUUGGAGCUGCGGGAAAAACUAACAGACUAGAGGAUGUUAGAGGUUAGCGGAAUGUCUGGUGGAGGGGUGAAAUCCGUUGAUAUCAGAUAGAACACCAAAAGCGAAGGCAGCUAACUGGGGCAAUCCUGACGCUGAGAGACGAAAGCGUGGGGAUAAAAGAGGAUUAGAUACCCUUGUAUUCCACGCCCUAAACGAUGAGCGCUAGGUAUUGCAAGUGUCGGACCCUGGCAGUGGGUGAGCUAACGCGUUAAGUGCUCCGCCUGGGAAGUACGGCCGCAAGGCUAAAACUCAAAGGAAUAGACGGGGACUCACACAGGCGGUGGAUCACGUGGCUUAAUUCGACACUAAGCGAGGAACCUGACCAAGGCUUGAAACUUUAAUGUAAUCCUUCCGAAAGGAAGGCCCUCCGCAAGGACAUUAGAGCAGGUGCUGCAUGGUUGUCGUCAGCAGGUGGCUUGAGUUGCUCCCUUAAAUGGGGUAACCUGCGCAACCCUUGCCCUAUGUU
rnacentral:rRNA from 1 species